AUGAACGCUGGCGGCGUGCUUAACACAUGCAAGUCGAACGGUGAAAGAGAGCUUGCUCUCUGGAUCAGUGGCGAACGGGUGAGUAACACGUGAGCAAUCUGCCCCUGACUCUGGGAUAAGCGCUGGAAACGGCGUCUAAUACCGGAUACGAGCUGCGAAGGCAUCUUCAGCAGCUGGAAAGAACUUCGGUCAGGGAUGAGCUCGCGGCCUAUCAGCUAGUUGGUGAGGUAAUGGCUCACCAAGGCGUCGACGGGUAGCCG
rnacentral:rRNA from 2 species